rfam:Aedes albopictus isolate Foshan contig137171, whole genome shotgun sequence.
UAGCCUAGCGGUUAAGGCUAUGGAUCGCCAAUCCGGAGACAGCGGGUUCGAUUCCCGU